ensembl:lncRNA
GGGAAACAACGCAGAGAGCCUCAAGAUCUAAGGGACAGGCCAGCGGGGUCUUCCCAUGCCAUGCUCUGCCAGAGCACUGUGUGUGCAUACCAAGUGCGAUAUUUGUGUGCACUUACUGCCAGCUCUCAUACAUGAAGCAGAAAACCAGCAUUGCCUCCUGCUGCUCUAUACGGAAAGGUGCUCAGGACUACCCAGAGCCUUCUCCAGGCUGAACAGCCUCAGCUCUCUCAGCCUUGUAGGAGAGGUGUUCCAUGACUUGGAUCAUUUCUGUCGCCCUGCUCUGGAUGUGCUCCAACAGGUUCAUGUCUCUCCUGUACUAAGAACUCCACAUCUGGAUUCAGCACUGCAGAUGUGGAACCAGAAGAAGCUUGAUCAAAUUCACCAUUUUGCCCAGGGUUACAUAUCAUCUUGGACAGUUACAUGCCCCUGACCUCCAUGUCAUCAGACAAAUCCUCUUUUGCAGAACUGAGAAGAUCAAAUUUUACAAUCGCAAGUCAUAACAGAAGAUUACUUGGCUGACACCAUCCCCAGGUUUGCCAGCACAUAUCAAGCUGAACAUAUAAUUUCUGGACUUCUCUCCUUUAGUGAUUGUUUUUUUUCAGGGGAUAUUCUUGCAGCUGCUCUCCUGUUUUGAUAACCACACUUCACAGUCGUCAUGCAGAGAGAGAAAAUCUUUGUUGCAAAUUCAGUCUCAUUACUGUUAUUUAAAUAUUGGUACCAGUGCCCCGAGAUAACCAGUCUUGAGUGGGCCACAGCCCCAGACCCAUGUAUUCUGAACACCACAUGGGAGCACAGUCACCAAAGCUAGUAAAAGAGAUGUGUGUUUUCCUCUUGGUGUAUCCACAUGGACUGAAGCCAGGGGGGAUUAUGUUUAUAAAAAUAUUGUACCAUUCUUCGAUUUUGACAUAUGCAGCUGGGAUCCUGAGUGAAGAAUUGUGGCAGAAAUGUGGGGCCUGUUUUGGGCCUGUGAACAUCUGUCAAAAUGCCCACUUUAACCACUAGAGGUCUGUUUCGCACAAAUCCUUUGCAGUGAACAGAAAAGAUAGAAUAUGUGUUCCCAAAGUUUAAGCUCUUGAAUAUAGGUAAAAAUAAAUCUAAACUCUUUUGCUUUAAGUAACUAGUAAGAAAAAGCCACCCUAAAUAAUAGGGUGUAUUUUUUUUUUCUGCCAUAAACAUGUUUUCCAGCAGCAGGUUCUUUGUUUCUUUUAAUGUUCGUCCAGUAAAUUACUAAACAAGAGAUUAGGUCAGUGUGUAUAUGCAGCAUUUUUAAUCAUUUCU